CUGGAGAUCCCUCCUUUUGGAGUUUUACAGCAAGCCCAGGAUAAGGGCUCAGCCUCCAUCUCCCCACCCUUCCUCCUUUCCCUUUUUGGACCGGUGAGCCUGCUGUUCCCCUGUCAUGGACACAGUCAGGUCUAGAUAACUCCUUGACAAAUUCUUAUCAAUGAAUCCCAUGUUUGCAUAUAUUUUUGGAAAAUCUUGAGAUACCAGAGAUCUGUGUGAUAUAAAUUGCUGAGAAAUAUCCUUGAAGAAAAUCUUGGGUUUAGACUGGAAGGUUUUGCAAAAUCACCUUUUCAUUUUCCUCUCUUAUUCUCUAACUGUACAUAUGAGGACUGCUUCUUACCAGACUACUCUGAAGAUCACAGGUUGCUGUUAAGAGCAAGAAAUAGGAGAUGUGGUUUAUGAUGCCUCUGAAAUUUGGAGAGAAAUGUUCUAGGAAUUACUUCAUGGCACAAAAAGGUGACCCUGCUGCCUCCUCCAGCAGCUGCUGAUGCACAGGCAGCCCUCAGAGAAAGUAGUAAGAGGUACAGAGUGUUUGGGGGCUCCAGCAUAGGAAAUGUCAUCUAACCACGACAAGACUGAUGCCUCUUCAGGCACAUGAAGAAACAAUAACAGCUGAAUUGUGGAUGGAAAUGUUAAACACAGGUGUUUGUGGGCACCAGAUGCAUUGAAGAAUUGCUGAUUUUGUGAUGAUUUCGAGGACAGUAGUUUUGAAUUUAGGUAUCUGGAUCCCUUAAAGUCCCACCUUAAGCAUCAAAACUCUUCAGAACCUGGAAAAAAGGCCAUGAGAUAUGCAAACAAUGUGGCUGACAUUUGUCUUGAAGGUAUGCACAAGGAAAGGCAUAAGGGAAAAGAGCUUGAAAUAACUCUAAUUGCAUGUUUUAAAUAUUAAGAUGCAGGAAGUACAAGUUUCAUUACUUGAACUUUUAUAUUAUAUUUAAGUUUCAUUGUAUCGUCUCUUUUAAAAUGUGGAGAUGUGAACUAGGAAUAAAAAGGGAAGGUUAUAGGAUGAAAUUGGGGAUAUAUUCCUGUAGCCUGAACCGUAAGUGCAUAGUUACAAUUCUGUAUGACUUGAAGAUUAGUGUAUGUCAAAGAUACCUAGAUACACAAAUACAGGAAAUUAAAUGUAUUGAUAGGUAUAGAAAAACAGAUUUAUUGUCUGAAUUUGCACAUUGAAUUUCUGACUAUGAAGCUGCUACUACAUCUUCUUUUGGUUGCUCAACUAACAUAUAUAUAUAAAAUCAAUAUAAGCAGAAUUUUCACUGUAUCCUUAGGUUAUGUGUUCACUGCUUACAUGAUUUGUAGUAACUACAAAACAGGUUUUUCUGCCCUUCUCAUGUUCCAGGAACAACUGAAACGUAAGAUUCAAGUGAACACAUAUGCAUCACAAAACCUCUUUUUGUAUCAUCUUGUAUUGUUUCUGUGGUCUCCAUGCAGUGGUGGGCUAU